rnacentral:rRNA from 1 species
AUGUACAAAUCAGCAAGGUACUUUUGCGUUAUCCUAGAGGAAGUAGCCGGUACGUGGUACGUGGCUGGCGUAGAUGGAUUUUUGGAAUUUGCAUAUAAAGAUAAGACAGAAGAUACCACGAUCCUUUGUCCAUGUGAAGUAUGCGUGCACACUUCUGUUCUAUCAAAGAAUGAUGUCCGUGAUCAUUUGAUCUGUAACGGAAUUCUUCAGAGUUAUGACAAAUGGGUUUUUCAUGGCGAAUCUUCAGAUGAGCACAAUAAUGAUCAGCAACCACAGCCUCCCAAUGAAGAAAUGCUUGCUGACAUGCAUGGGUUGAUUAAUGAUGCCUUCAGGAAUGUGUAUGAUGAUGUGCCAAUGAGUGAGAGUCUACAUCCACCGAAUCAACAUGGACCAAAUUUAGAAGCCGAGGAAUUUUAUAAAUUGAUCAAUGAUUCGAAGAAGCCUUUAUGGCCGGAAUGUGGAUUAUCACAGCUAUCAUUACUUGUGAUUUUGUUUAAUACAAAAUCCAUGAACAAAUGGUCUGACAAGUCAUUUGGAGAUCUACUUGAUACUCUGCGCAUGGCAAUUCCAAACGGAAAUGAGCUGCCCCAGAAUUUUUACGAGGCUAAGAAGAUUGUUUCAAAAUUUGGCCUAGAUUAUAAAAAAAUUCAUGCUUGUCCAAAUAAUUGCCAGCUGUUCUGGAAAGACACGGAAAAUGAUGAUUUUUGCUCAAUCUGUAAGGCCUCUAGGUGGAAAGAUAAAGAACCGGAAACAAAGUUAACAAAGAAGGAAAGAAAAAAAGCAACACCAAGCAAAGUUUUACGUUACUUUCCAAUCAAGGAUAGGUUGAAAAUAUUGUUCAUGUGCAAAGAGACAGCACCUCUUUUGCGAUGGCAUGAUGAAGAGCACAUUAAGGAUGGCGCACUACGACAUCCAGCUGAUUCCCUAGCAUGGAAGGCUUUAGAUGAAAGGUACUCAAAAAUUGCAUCUGAUUGCCGUAAUAUACGGUUUGGCUUGGGUCAUGAUGGAUUUAAUCCCUAUGGGAUGAUGAGUUCUAGUUAUAGUUGUUGGCCAGUUGUUUUGACAAUAUAUAAUCUGCCUCCAUGGUUGUGCAUGAAAGAAUCUUACCUUUUGCUAUCUUUGAUAAUUCCUGGGCCCAAAAAUCCAGGCGAUAAUAUUCAUGUCUUUCUCCAGCCACUUUUGGAUGACUUGAAAGACUUAUUUCUGAAUGGAAUUGUCACAUAUGAUGUGUCUAAAAAUGAAACCUUUACUUUGCGAGCAGUCGUGUUGUGGACUAUAAAUGAUCUGCCAGCUUUAGGAAUGGUUUCUUCACAUAAGGUGCAUGGAGAAUUUGCAUGUCCACCAUGCGGUGCAGAUGCAUGGUCCAAGCGAUUAAAACAUGGAAAGAAAUCAUGCUUUAUGGGUCACCGCCGAUUUCUGCCUCCUGCUCAUAAGUUUCAUUUUGAUCAAAAGUCUUUUGAUGGAACGGUGGAGCAUAGAGCAGAGCCUCGAACUUACUAUGGACGUCAGGUUGAAGAAGAAAUAAAGGCUCUUGGUGAUUUUAAGCAAUCAAAAACUUACAAGGGAUUAAGUAGUCUAUUUACAUUACCCUAUUGGGACUAUAAUCUCGUUCGACAUAAUCUUGACGUGAUGCAUAUAGAGAAGAAUGUGUGUGAUAAUAUUUUGGGCACACUUUUAGGUUUAGAUGGGAAGUCAAAAGAUAAUCUUUCUGCUCGUCUAGAUCUUAAAGAGAUGAAUAUUAGAGAGGACCUACAUCCAGAGCAACAACCUUCAGGCAAGUUUUACUUACCACCUGCAUUAUUUACCAUGUCCAGAAGUGAGAUAAAAUUGUUCCUUGAAGUUCUUGAGUCUAUAAUGGUUCCCGAUGGCUAUUGUGGAAAUAUAUCUAAAUGUGUGAAGUCCGCUGAAGGAAAAAUUUCCGGGCUAAAAACACAUGACUGCCAUGUCCUACUACAACAAUUCAUGCCUAUCGCUUUGACGGGUAUUCUUCCAGACCGUGUCACAACAGUACUACUUGAAUUAUCUGCUUACUUCCGAGGAAUAUGUUCAAAAGUUCUCCAUGUAAAUGAGCUUGACCAUUUGGAAGAAUCAAUUAGAAUCACACUUUGUAAAAUGGAGAUGAUAUUCCCUCCUGGAUUUUUCACUGUCAUGGUUCAUUUAGUUGUCCAUUUAGCAACUGAAUGUAAACUUGCUGGACCAGUUUGCUAUCGAUGGAUGUACUUUAUUGAAAGGUACCUAGGUAAAUUGAAGUCAUAUGUUCGCAACAAAGCUCGCCCUGAGGGUUCAAUUGCUGAAUCAUUUUUGGCGGAUGAGUGCAUGGCCUUUUGCUCAAGAUACUUAGAGGGUUUCUCUACUAAGCACAACCAACCAUCAAGGAAUCAUGACAAACCAAAUGAGAAUGAAUCUGCAAUGUAUGCAAAUGAAUCCACAUUAUUUCCUCCAGUAGGGAAUCCAUUGGGAAAACCACGCACCUACACUUUGAAUGAUAUGGAGUCCUUACAAGCCCAUAGAUUUGUGCUCUACAACUGUGAUGUUGUCACUCCAUAUCUCAUAGCACAUGGUGCUGAACUAAAAAGGAAAACCCGCAACAAGCGCCUAGCACUAAAAACCAUUGAGCGCAUGCAGCAUGCCAACUUCCCUGAUUGGUUUAGAGAUCAUGUAAUGCAGCUGGAGCAGCAAAGGGGUACUGACAGCAUCGAUGAUGAUAUUAGAUGGUUGGCUCGUGGUCCAAUUGAGGUUGCACGAAGAUACAUAGGCUUCUGUACCCAUGGAUAUAGAUUUAGACCCAAGCGUUAUGAUAAGAAGACGCAAAACAGUGGAGUUGUUUUGACCGCAAAAACAUCAAGUUAUGCUUCUGAGGUGAUACUAACCCUAUACUUGGAGAUGCCAUGUACUAUGGGAAGAUAG